AAAGGGCUCUUAAAGUUCAAUGUUUUUAGAGGCAUUCUAUUGAUAAGAUUUGUUGUAGCAAGAACUGCAUCCCCCCAAUAAGGUGUAGGUAAAUUCAUAAUAAACAUAAGAGAUCGAGCCACCUCUAAUAAAUGUCUAUUUUCUCUUUCAGACAUCACAUAUUGUUCACUAGUCUUAACACAAUUAGUUUGACGCACUAUACCAUUUG
rnacentral:misc_RNA from 1 species